AUGAAAAUCAUAGCAUGGAAUUGCCGGGGACUUGGGAAUGCCCCGGCAGUUCGAGCUUUGCUGGAUGUCCAGCAGAGAUACCUCCCCGAUGUGAUGUUUUUGUCAGAGACUCACCUCGAUAGCUAUCCGGCUGAGGGUUUAUGGAGAAAGUUGAAGAUGGACCAGAAAUUUGUGUGUCCAAGUGAUGGAAGGGAAGGAGGACUGAUUCUGUUCUAG
rnacentral:rRNA from 1 species